GUAAUACCUGAUGCAAAGUUCAAGAAACAGAGCCUUCAUUUAAAAACAGCAAAUGGGGCUUCCCUGGUGGCGCAGUGGUUGAGAGUCCGGCUGCCGAUGCAGGGGACACGGGUUCAUGCCCCGGUCCGGGAAGAUCCCACAUGCUGCGGAGCGGCUGGGCCCGUGAGCCAUGGCCGCUGAGCCUGCGCGUCCAGAGCCUGUGCCCCGCAACGGGAGAGGCCACAACAUGAGAGGCCUGCGUGCCGCAAAAAAAAAAAAAAAAAAAAAGAAA